UGGCAUUUAUAGAUUAUUUUAAGGACAUUUGACACAAAACAUAGAAAUACAGAUACAUACAUAGGCCCCAGGUAUUUUUCAUGGCACUUAUUUCCCAGGUCCUAUCUCACAGGUCAAAACACUCAGGGUGCCUGGUGCAUCCUUCUCCACAGGUGGGUUGGUGCAGUGUCUGUGAUGGGAACACGGAAGGGUGAACGAACCCGAGAUACUGGCAGACUGGAGGGCAGCAUGGAAGUAGAGUUACCGUGUAAAAGUAAUGGUGGCUUUUAUUUAUUUAUUUAUUUAUACCAUGUGAAAGUAACGAUAGCAUUUAUUUGGCUGCACCAUGGUAUAUGGAAGUUCCAGGGCCAGGGAUCAAACAUGCACCACAGCAGUGACCCGAGCCACCGCAAUGACAACGGUGGAUCCCUAACCUGCUGCGCCACCACCAGGGAACUCACUGAUGACAAUUAUUGACGAGGCAGGCACUUGAAUCCAUUCUCACAGCUCCCAUGAGGCAGGCACUAGUACAAUUAUACCAACAGGGCAGUAAAACUGAAGCUUAGCAAGAUUAAAUAACUUUCACCCAAUUAAUAAUUGGAGGAGCUGGAAUUUGAACCCAGGCAGCCCAGCCUGGGCUGAGCUACUCAGCCAAGGUGAACAGCUUCUGGGAAGCAGGACAGAAAGAAAAAAAGAGAAAAAUAUGUCUGCCCAAUCACUUGUCUUGCACCUGCUACCAUGAGGGAUUAAGGCUCUGGGCCGAGCUGCUCAGCCAAGGUGAACAGCUUCUGGGAAGCAGGACAGAAAGAAAAAAAGAGAAAAAUAUGUCUGCCCAAUCACUUGUCUUGCACCUGCUACCAUGAGGGAUUAAGGCUCUGGGCUGAGCUGCUCAGCCAAGGUGAACAGCUUCUGGGAAGCAGGACAGAAAGAAAAAAAGAGAAAAAUAUGUCCGCCCAAUCAAUUGUCUUGCACCUGCUACCAUGAGGGAUCAAGCCUCUGGGCCCCGAGCUCCUGCUAUAUGAGACAGUAGGUGGACAGAGAAUCACCUGCCCAGUGGCCCUGGUCUUUGUCGAGGAACGAAAGACUGACCUUUGCAGUGAGGGGUGGGGGAGGCCUUGCUGCCAUCAUGGCCCUUAAUCCUGAGGUUAGGGAACUGAGGUGCAGGUUAUGUGGGUUUCUAAGCAUAUCCAUCCCACCCUUUUCAGGGAAGAUGCUGGCAGGUGAGCCCAGGUUGCUGGGCCCCCUCCCUCAUCUGGCCUCUGCUGGGAUUAGAGUCCAUUUAGCCACCCAAUAAUCCCCCGGAGCUUGGGUGCCUCCUCCUCCCUGGGGCCUGGUCUCCAGGUCAGAAGCCCCAGGUCCUGCUGGGAAGGACACACAAAGAACCCUGGUGCUCAGGAUACCAGCUUCCUUCAAGAUUUCCCAAGCCACCAUUUGGGUUGAUAAGCUGAUUAAGUUGAUCAGUCACUCAAGGGGCUGAGAUUCUAUAGUAGUGAUUCCCAACACUGGGAUCGGGGGGAAGCACUCACCGCCUCCCCACCCCACCCCCGCCCUGCCCCGAUCCAGAGCAUUUCAAAAUCGCUGGAGACAAGUAUGAUAGUCACAACUGGGAGCAGGGAGAAGGGUGCAACUGGCAUCCACUGGGUUGAGGCCAGGGGUACAAUGCAGGGGACAGUGCUUCCCACCAAGAAGUAUCCAGCGCAAACCGUCAGUGAUACCAAGGUAGGGAACUCCUGUCCUAGAGAGUUCUGGUGAGCACAAGAACCCUUGAGACACUUGUUUUAAAAGCAGUCUUAAAAAUAAUUACAAAAUUUAAAAAAUGAUUAUUAAAAAAAAUAAAAUGCCAAGUCUUGUGUCCUAUCUGACAUUCUAAUCCAGCAGGGUUUGGAGCAGGACCCAGGCAUCUGCAUUUUCAAGCGUUCCAGGCAAUCUGAGGAUAGGUGGGCCACGCUGAGAAAUACCACUGCAGGAUUCCAAAACUCUGGUCCCUAGACCUGUGUGGGCCUGCCUAAGAGCAACCCAGAGUGCUUAUUACAAGUCUGGGAUCCUUGCUCCAUCCCUGGAGCUUCUGUUCUCAUAGAUCUGGCUUUGGUCGCAGCAUUCUCUGGGUUUGUUUGUUCUGGGUGAUUCUCAUGCAAGUUCAUGAUACGGAGUGUGGGCUGAGUUAGCAUAGACUUUGGUCACCUACCCUCACUCUCCUGGUUCCGAGUCAAGCAAAACUCUGGUGGCUGCCAACGGACUUCGUUCCUGGAAACCGCAAGGUUUAUAAACAAAGGUCACGUCCAGCACAGGGACUUGGAAAUUCUGAAAAGCAAUCACAACUGUCCCCACUCAAUUUCUCCCCUGUUCCUCACAUCCCCAAUGUUGUCAAGGAACCAAUUUUUGGUCAGAGCAACCCAAUCUCAUCAACGGCCUGGCUUCAGCAGGGAAGGGUGCCCCUGCGGUCUGCAGUAAUAGCAGCCUCCUCUAAUGUACCUCUUCCUCUCUGUUGAGAAUCUGGGCUGAUGGGCCCCCUUACUAUAGAAUGGAAUGUGCCAGAUGUCGAGGGGGAAACCAUCCAGGAGAGAUACCCGUCACCUUGCUGUUGUUGUUACAGAUCCUUCAGGGACACUUCAUCCAGGCUCUGGUCCCACUUGGAAAGUCAUCCCAGCUCCCCCUAAAGGCCACGAUCUGUCUAAAGGCCUCGGUCUGUCACGUCUGCGCGUUGCCCCCCCCACCCCCACCCCACGCCGCCGGCGGUCUCCAACCCUGGUGCGGCACUGUCCCCUGUCGGCCACCCUGUGUGUGUGCAGCUCCGCUAACCUCACCUGCCCGGUUCCCUGCUAGUUCGUCAGGGCCCAGGACGGUCUCCCAGGCCACUUCCCACUGUCACUAGGGGUGGUGCAGGGUAGACGGCCCUCGGCCACUGCCCUUCUUUAGGGAUCUUUUGCUUCAAUGUAGCAUCUGUGUCAGAGGCUGAGCUACUGAUGUGCCCACCACUUGGCAGGGGAAGAUGAGUGAGGGGGGUGAUCCUUGCUGGAGAGAAAGUACAAAGAACCCUUGGCACAGGGAGUCCAUCCACACCCUACACUUAGAGAUUCAACCUACCUGGCCUGGCCUCUGGCCACCUAAAUCCUCGUCUCUGGGACAACCGGGCCAGGGAGGUCCUGUCUGACAGCUCUAGAUUGUUAGUCCAGCCAAUACCAGACUAUAGGUCUCUGACCCCCUGUGUGGCUGCCCUUUCUUAGAGCACUUACGAUCACGAAUCCUCCCUCUGUCCCUCUGGGACACAGAUGAAUGUAUCUCCUGAAACCUGGCAGGGUCUCUUCUCCAUGAA
rnacentral:lncRNA from 1 species